UUAACAAAUUUUGCUUUUCGCUCAGACUGCAAACUUCAGACAGCGUUCAAGGGUGUCUUCGGCGGGCACGGGCCCGGGGGCAGAAGCCCCCCGGCGGCCGUGAGGCGGGCCCGCCAAAGCAACAAGGUAUAAUAAACACGGGUGGGAGGUUGGACCCAGAGGGCCCUCACUCGGUAAUGAUCCUUCCGCAGGUUCACCUACGGAAA
rnacentral:misc_RNA from 1 species